rnacentral:lncRNA from 1 species
GUUCCUCAAAUUUGCUUGCUUCCUUAGGCUCUUGGGAGUUUUUUCAAUCUCAGGGUCGUAAAGAAGAGUGUCUUUACGGCCAGACCUGGUCAUAAAGGGAAAAUACGUUAGUUUAAAUCAAUUCCCCGGCAACGGCGCCAAUUUUUGAUAGGCGGUUGUCGAAGCCGUCAAAAAUAACCUAUUAUCAAUCAACAAAUAAAUUUGCAGAUAGUGGCAAUAGGGUCGAACCACAGGGAAUUGACACCAAGUAUCUUCCUAAUAAUGACUAAGGCAAGUAAUAACAAGUAAGUAAAAGAGGGGGNNN